UAUAUGUUGAGUACACAAUAUUUUAUGUUUAGCCUUUUUUUGAGAUUGCGGAAAAAUUGCGUUACGUGUGUUGCGUUACAUGCGGUGAGAAAUGACGAUGAAAAAAAUAUACUAUUUGUUUCCGUACGUAAUAUUACAUUCCGUAUAUUGCGGCUAGUAGAUUACGAUAUAUUAAUAUUGCGUUCCGCAUAUUGCGGUUUAGUAUGUUACUAUAUAUUUCUGCGGUCCCAUAGGAGAACACAGAAGUAUAUCUCUUAUAUGCUUUUUCUCAACUCCAUUCUAUCUAGUAGCGUUAGAUCUAUCUCAAUACCAAACUAAGCCUUAGUAUUUUGCUUUAAAAUUAGAGUAGCCAUAGGAGAACACAAAAACAUAUCUCUAUAUGCUUUUACUCAACUCCAUUCUAUCUAGUAGCGUUAGAUUCACCUCAAUACCAAACUAAGCCUUAGUAUUUUGCUUUAAAACUAGAGUAGGGCUACAAUAUUUUUA
rnacentral:lncRNA from 1 species